CCUACGGGAGGCUGCAGUGAGGAAUAUUGGUCAAUGGGCGAGACCCUGAACCAGCCAAGUCGCGUGAGGGAGUACUGCCCUAUGGGUUGUAAACCUCUUUUGUCGGGGAGCAAAAGCCGGACGUGUCCGGCUGUGAGAGUACCCGCAGCUAAAGCCUCGGCUAACUCCGUGCCAGCAGCCGCGGUAAUACGGAGGAUGCGAGCGUUAUCCGGAUAUAUUGGGUGUAAAGGGUGCGCAGGCGGAUUUUUAAGUCAGUGGUCAAAUCGUGGGGCUCAAACCCAUCCAGCCAUAGAAACUGGGGAUCUAGAGUAUGCGAGAGGUAUGUGGAAUGCGUGGUGUAGCGGUGAAAUGCAUAGAUAUCACGCAGAACCCCGAUUGCGAAGGCAGCAUACCGGUGCACAACUGACGCUCAGGCACGAAAGCGUGGGUAUCGAACAGGAUUAGAUACCCCAGUAGUC
rnacentral:rRNA from 1 species